UCUUUUAAGGAUGUACUUAGGUGAAAUUUAAAAAAUUAAGAAAUUGAAAUUGAUACUACAUGUUGAAUGAGCAUCAGCUAUGGAACAAAAUAAGCUAAAAAUAUUGAUAGGUCAUGGAGCUCCUUUUCGAGUUAUUUGAGUUUUAAAAAUUGGCGGGAAAAGGCUGACUCGGACUUUUACCUUACAUUUGCAUUGGUAUUAUUUGGGUCUCAAAUCGAAAGAACAAAAAUUAAGAAUCUGCUUAAAUUUUGAAAAAUGGCCUUUUAUGAGCUAUUGAAGUCAUUUAUGAAAAGAAAAAUGGGUGUUAUGGGGCAAAAUAUCUAACCCUGUAUUGAUGGAAAAAACCCAAGGAGUUCGAACAUCUGAC
rnacentral:lncRNA from 1 species